rnacentral:tRNA from 1 species
CGUGGUGUAGCUCAGCCAGGUAGAGCGUCCGGCUCAUUCCCGGGAUGUCGUUGGAUCGAAGCCAACCGCCGCAACCA